AAUCAACGCUGGCGGCGUGCCUCAGACAUGCAAGUCGAACGAUUAAAGCUCUCUUCGGAGAGUGCAUAGAGUGGCGCACGGGUGAGUAACACGUAAGUAAUCUGCCUUUGAGUGGGGAAUAACAGUCGGAAACGAUUGCUAAUACCGCAUAACGCAGCGGCACCGCAAGGUGACAGUUGUUAAAGGAGCAAUCCGCUUAAAGAGGAGCUUGCGGCAGAUUAGCUUGUUGGUAAGGUAACGGCUUACCAAGGCUACGAUCUGUAUCCGGUCUAAGAGGACGGUCGGACACACUGACACUGAAUAACGGGUCAGACUCCUACGGGAGGCAGCAGUCGGGAAUAUUGGGCAAUGGGGGAAACCCUGACCCAGCGACGCCGCGUGGGUGAUGAAGGCC
rnacentral:rRNA from 1 species